GACGAACGCUGGCGGCGUGCUUAACACAUGCAAGUCGAACGGCAGCGCCCUGCUUUUGUGGGGUGCUCGAGUGGCGAACGGGUGAGUAACACGUGAGUAACCUGCCCUUCACUUUGGUAUGACUUCAGGAAACUGGGGCUACUACCGUAUCGGAGCUCCUUCUGCAUGGUGGGGGUUGGAUCUUUUCGGCUGUUGGGGUUGGACUCGCGGCUUAUCAGUUUGCUGGUGGGGGAGUUGCUUGCCAAGGCUUUGAAGGAUAGGCGGCCUGAGUGGGUGAACGGGGACAAGGGGACUGAGAGACGGACCAGACGGAAAUAGGAGGCAGCAGGGGGGAGUAUUGUACAGAGGGCGGAAGUCUGAUGCGGAAACCCCGCGGGUGGGAAGAAGGUUUUCGGGUUGAAAAACGCAGGCGGCUGUGACGAAGCGGGAGUGACGGUAAAGAAUGAAGAAGCACCGGCUAACUACGUG
rnacentral:rRNA from 1 species